rnacentral:tRNA from 1 species
AUCGACGACUCAGCUGCACCAUAGGCACCCACACGAAUUGCUUGAUUCAUUGAAGAAGACGAUUAGAAGCAGCUUUAAGCUCCAAGCUGAUAGCUCAACGCUAGCGGCUACAAGCUCGAAAUUGGGUCUGUAGCUCAGUUGGUUAGAGCGCACCCCUGAUAAGGGUGAGGUCGGCAGUUCGAAUCUGCCCAGACCCACCAAUUUUGUGUGGGAAACGCCUGUAGAAAUACGGGGCCAUAGCUCAGCUGGGAGAGCGCCUGCCUUGCACGCAGGAGGUCAGCGGUUCGAUCCCGCUUGGCUCCACCACUUACUGCUUCUGUUUUGGAAGCUUAGAAAUGAGCAUUCCACCCUGCAAGACAAGGGGUGCCUGAAUGUUGAUUUCUAGUCUUUGAUUAGAUCGUUCUUUAAAAAUUUGGGUAUGUGAUAGAAAGAAAUAUAGACCGGGCACCUCUUUCACUGGUGUGUGUCCGGGCUAAGGUAAAGUUUGUGAAAUGCAAACUUUCGGCGAAUGUCGUCUUCACAGUAUAACCAGAUU